GGGGGUGUAACUCAGUGGUAGAGCACUUACCUAGCAUGUACAGAGCUCUGGGUUCAAUCCCCCAGCAACA
rnacentral:tRNA from 1 species